CCUACGGGGCGCAGCAGUCGAGAAUCAUUCACAAUGGGGGAAACCCUGAUGGUGCGACGCCGCGUGGGGGAAUGAAGGUCUUCGGAUUGUAAACCCCUGUCAUGUGGGAGCAAAUUAAAAAGAUAGUACCACAAGAGGAAGAGACGGCUAACUCUGUGCCAGCAGCCGCGGUAAUACAGAGGUCUCAAGCGUUGUUCGGAAUCACUGGGCGUAAAGCGUGCGUAGGCUGUUUCGUAAGUCGUGUGUGAAAGGCGCGGGCUCAACCCGCGGACGGCACAUGAUACUGCGAGACUAGAGUAAUGGAGGGGGAACCGGAAUUCUCGGUGUAGCAGUGAAUGCGUAGAUAUCGAGAGGAACACUCGUGGCGAAGGCGGGUUCCUGGACAGUAACUGACGCUGAGGCACGAAGGCCAGGGGAGCGAAAGGGAUUAGAUACCCCAGUAGUC
rnacentral:rRNA from 1 species